rnacentral:rRNA from 1 species
UGGGGAAUAUUGCACAAUGGGCGCAAGCCUGAUGCAGCCAUGCCGCGUGUAUGAAGAAGGCCUUCGGGUUGAAAAGUACUUUCAGCGAGGAGGAAGGCGGUAAGGUUAAUAACCUUAUCGAUUGACGUUACUCGCAGAAGACGCACCGGCUAACUCCGUGCCAGCAGCCGCGGUAAUACGGAGGGUGCAAGCGUUAAUCGGAAUUACUGGGCGUAAAGCGCACGCAGGCGGUCUGUCAAGUCGGAUGUGAAAUCCCCGGGCUCAACCUGGGAACUGCAUUCGAAACUGGCAGGCUAGAGUCUUGUAGAGGGGGGUAGAAUUCCAGGUGUAGCGGUGAAAUGCGUAGAGAUCUGGAGGAAUACCGGUGGCGAAGGCGGCCCCCUGGACAAAGACUGACGCUCAGGUGCGAAAGCGUGGGGAGCAAACA